UAAACAUCUGGUAUCUUGUAUACAGGGGAUGAAUGUGGUCUUGUUUCCUUCUUUAGCUGCUGGAAACCUUAGAGCAAAAAAUAAGGCCACUUUUGUAACUGUGUCUGACUCAGCAGCAUAACUUUUCCGUUGUCUUCCAUGUGCUAUCCUGUUUUUAUUUUUCCUUUCCCUUGAUUGCUCUCUAUACAUACAUUUUUGAGAAGUUGUUUUUCUUUAUUUUUCAAACUAAUUCAUUCAAUACUCUCCUCCAGGUAGAGUUUAUAAUUGUUUGUAGUUGAGAAAAUUGGACUAGAAUGAAGCCUUGUGGAAUCCAAGAAGAAUUCGUUAUUCUUUAGCUGCUUUCAUCUCCAACUGUGUUAGGCAUCCUCCUAAGAUGGUCCCCAAGAUGGCAGACCCCUGGAAUCAUCUGUACAAUUUCCUCUCUUUUCACAGGUAAGGGAUUUUAUAAACAUAAUAAGAUUUCUUUCCUGUAAUUGGGUUACAUUGAAUAACAAAGGUGAAGGGAUUACACAGAUGUAAUGAAGGUCCCUACUCACUUGGCUCUGAGUUAAUCAAAAGGGAGAUUAUCCUAAGUGGGCCUGACCUAAUCAGGUGAGCUCUUGAUAAGAGGGUGCUGGCCUUCCCUGAGAGAUUCAAAGCAGCACAAAUGCUCUCCUGUUGGAUUUGUAGAAACAUAAUGCUAUGCUGUGAAAAGGGCCACUUAGGGCUGCAGUCCUCCAGCUAUAAGAACUGAAUUCUGCUGUUGGGGCUCAGAAAACAAUAUCCCAGAAUGAAACCUCAAACGCAGCCUGGAAAGAAAAAGUUCUUCUCUGACCUCCUACCCUUCUGUCUCUCAGUCCCAUUCUCCCCUGAGGCUAUCCAUAGAAACCAGAACUCCUUUUCCCCAAAGGCAGCCAUAAACCUAAAAAUGUUACUCUAACUUUCCCUCUGCCCUGUCUACGUAAAAACUGGCCAUGGCUUUUAUGAGUUGAUUUUUCAGCGAACCUUCAAGGGGCUAAGGGGAACAUUACCCUUGGCCACUAUACUGCCAACAACCUAUGAGCCUGGAAGAGGAUCCCAAGUCUCAGAUGAAACCAGGACCUCAGCCAACACCUUGAUUUCAGCCUCAUGAGAUCCUAAGCAGAGGGUACAGUAAAGCCACAUAUGGUGCCUAACCAAAAAAACUAUGAGAUAAUAAAGAUGUG
rnacentral:lncRNA from 1 species